AUACGGAGGGGGCUAGCGUUGUUCGGAAUUACUGGGCGUAAAGCGCGCGUAGGCGGAUUGGUUAGUUGGGGGUGAAAUCCCAGGGCUCAACCCUGGAACUGCCCUCAAUACUGCCAGUCUAGAGAUCGAGAGAGGUGAGUGGAAUUCCUAGUGUAGAGGUGAAAUUCGUAGAUAUUAGGAAGAACACCAGUGGCGAAGGCGGCUCACUGGCUCGAUACUGACGCUGAGGCGCGAAAGCGUGGGGAGCAAACAGGAUUAGAAACCCGAGUAGUCC
rnacentral:rRNA from 1 species